rnacentral:rRNA from 1 species
GAGUUUGAUCCUGGCUCAGGACGAACGCUGGCGGCGUGCCUAAUACAUGCAAGUCGAACGAAACUUUCUUACACCGAAUGCUUGCAUUCACCGUAAGAAGUUGAGUGGCGGACGGGUGAGUAACACGUGGGUAACCUGCCUAAAAGAAGGGGAUAACACUUGGAAACAGGUGCUAAUACCGUAUAUCUCUAAGGAUCGCAUGAUCCUUAGAUGAAAGAUGGUUCUGCUAUCGCUUUUAGAUGGACCCGCGGCGUAUUAACUAGUUGGUGGGGUAACGGCCUACCAAGGUGAUGAUACGUAGCCGAACUGAGAGGUUGAUCGGCCACAUUGGGACUGAGACACGGCCCAAACUCCUACGGGAGGCAGCAGUAGGGAAUCUUCCACAAUGGACGCAGGUCUGAUGGAGCAACGCCGCGUGAGUGAAGAAGGUCUUCGGAUCGUAAAACUCUGUUGUUAGAGAAGAACACGAGUGAGAGUAACUGUUCAUUCGAUGAAGGUAUCUAACCAGCAAGUCACGGCUAACUACGUGCCAGCAGCAGCGGUAAUACGUAGGUGGCAAGCGUUGUCCGGAUUUAUUGGGCGUAAAGGGAACGCAGGCGGUCUUUUAAGUCUGAUGUGAAAGCCUUCGGCUUAACCGGAGUAGUGCAUUGGAAACUGGAAGACUUGAGUGCAGAAGAGGAGAGUGGAACUCCAUGUGUAGCGGUGAAAUGCGUAGA